rnacentral:tRNA from 1 species
AAUUAUAUAAUAUAAAAAAUAUAUUUAACUUCCAAUUAAAAACUUUAAACCUGAGUUUAAUAUAAUUA